GCCCCGGCUCCCGGCCAGGCUCGCACAUUCCCCCGGCUCCUGGCGAGCGCGUCCUUGGGAAUAAAGGCACGUUUGCUGCUUCCUCCCACGCCGGAGCACUGCAGCAAGUCACUCGCCGAGAGCUCGGGACCAGCAGAGGCUUAUGAAUGAAAAGAAAUGCAGCAUAAGUAAAUCAAUGCGGGCUGACUCCAGCCUAUGAAUAAAUUAUUAAUUUGUGCUCAAAGAAGAAUCCUCUUGAUAUGGCAAAUAUAGGAUUACAAGCUCCUCCACUGAGAGAGCAGCGUACCGAGCAGGAGGGAUUGGUCCAGAUGCAGAAGCUUUUCCUGAGUGGGAUUGCAUAAUGAAGGACCAAGAAAAACACAGGAAAAAGAAGUGGUUGCCCAACAAAAUCCCCACCUCUGGGCACUGAAGGGACACAGAGUUCAACCCUUCACAGCAAAUUCCUCGUGCACAGAGAACCCAGCCUGCCAGGAUUGAGGAAAAUGAAUUGACACAGAACAACAACAGCUCUCGAGAUCCAGAAACAGCCAAACCUCACUAAAAUGCUUUCUUCCAGGAAAAAGAGUGCAGAGCCUCACAAGAUGCUCAUGGAAAGAGCUGUCAAGGGAAGAAAACUGUCUGAGGCUUUAAGGUUCACACUUCCAUCAUGAAAAAAAUGAAGACCUACUUUUUACUCAAAGGUACACAUAGCCUAGACAGGUAACAUGCAGGAAGAGCCAGACCUGUUGGUGGUGGCACCAAAGGUAAAAAUGAAAGUAAAAUCAGAAAUCACUUGUAUGAGUGUUUAUAUCCAUCAAUGCCAUGAAAAAGGACCUUUAUUACUAUUUCAGUGAACAGAAGGUGUCUGGUGAUCUCACAAGUAAAACAUCCUGCAAGUCUUGCAAAGCAUUCACAGAAAAUAUAUUAAUAAGACAGACAAUCUAUGUACCUGAAUCUGACAUGAAAAUCCUAGUGCUAUCUACAGAAGGUUUUUCACUUUUUCAGACCAGAUCCCAAAAUGUUGUUCAAGCACCUAAAAAUAGUUAGACAUCUGCUAGAGUUUUCAAAAGCAUCUAGCACUUCAGAUGCCUGGCUUGGUGAGAACUGGCUACAAUUGCUUUCCACUCAAAACCAGCAGCCAGCAUUUCCAACCCAACAGAGUAAUAAUUCAUAUUCAAUUCAUCUGAAGUGCUACACAAAAACAGUAACAGGCUCUAAAGUCAAUAUCCAUUUCCAAAACAAUACACUGGCAUCAAUGAAAUGUUUUGAACAUACAAAACACAUCUGAGAAGCCCCAACCACAAACUGUACCAGCCUCCACUUCCAGACCUGCAUGUCCUGUACAUCCUGUACCCACAUAAUGCAGGAAAAUACAUUUAUUCACUCAUACAUCUUUUAGACAAGUAACUGAGACAGCAUGAGAUGUUCCCAGAGCAUGUAAUGACAGAGCUAUUACCUUACUAACAGUGAGUCAAAUUUGUAUGUUACCAGGAUCAACCCCUGAAACAACUAAAGAUUUGAAUCUUGAUCUUAUAUUCAGAUUUUGAUUGCAAGGUGUACCAAUUAAGCACUAGUUUUAGCUAAAUAGUAA